rnacentral:rRNA from 1 species
AACGAACGCUGGCGGCAUGCCUAACACAUGCAAGUCGAACGAGACCUUCGGGUCUAGUGGCGCACGGGUGCGUAACGCGUGGGAACUGCCCCUUGGGUUGGGAUAACCCCCCGGAAGGGGUUCCUAUUCCGGGUAAUUGUUUCGGGCCAAAGAUUUAUCGCCCUUGGAUGGGCCCGCGUUGGAUUAGCUAGUUGGUAGGGUAAAAGCCUACCAAGGCGACGAUCCAUAGCUGGUCUGAGAGGAUGAUCAGCCACACUGGGACUGAGACACGGCCCAGACUCCUACGGGAGGCAGCAGUGGGGAAUAUUGGACAAUGGGCGAAAGCCUGAUCCAGCAAUGCCGCGUGAGUGAUGAAGGCCUUAGGGUUGUAAAGCUCUCUUACCCGGGAUGAUAAUGACAGUACCGGGAGAAUAAGCUCCGGCUAACUCCGUG